GGGAACCCUAUAGCUACAGCGCUAAAUAGAGGACUAAGAACCAGAAGCAGCAUGCAAAUUAGAGAAAAAAACAAUGGAAGCAGCUUCCUGGUUGAGCUUGCCACUCCUCUUAACCCUAAUUUUUGUCUCAAAAUUUAUUUUACAAAAACUUGUAAACAAUAAAAAUUACCCUCCCAGCCCCCCUUCUCUUCCAAUUUUAGGACAUCUCCAUUUGCUUAAGGUACCAUUUCAUCGAACUCUUCAUGAGCUUUCUGCAAAAUAUGGGCAUGCGUUGCUUCUCCGAUUCGGUAGUCGUAAAGUCCUAGUUGUUUCUUCACCAGCCGCAGUUGAGGAGUGCUUUACAACAAAUGAUGUCAUCUUCGCAAAUCGGCCACGCCUGCUUGCUGGAAAACACCUUAAUUACAACUACAAGACAAUAGGAUUGUCCUCCUAUGGCGAACAGUGGCGCAACCUUAGACGCCUCGCAUCCUUAGAGCUUUUCUCUACAGCGCGUCUAGCCAUGUUUAGCAGUAUUAGGCAAGAGGAGGUCCUGUUAUUGCUCAAGCAAUUAUUCCAGGACUCGAAUGAAAAAGAGGUGAAAGUGAAGCUAUCAUCCAGGUUUGUGGAUCUUGCUUUUAAUGUCAUGAUGAGGAUGGUGGCAGGAAAACGGUAUUAUGGAAAGGAUGUAGUAGAUAAAGAAGCAAAUCAGUUUCGGGAUAUUAUGAGAGAAUUUGCAGAAAUCCAUGGUACCAUGAAUUUGAAUGAUCUUUUGCCAGUGCUACAAUGGGUGGAUUUUCAAGGCGUGGAGAGGAGAAUGAAAAGAUUGAUGAAGAAAAUGGAUACCUUUUUGCAGUACCUGGUUGAUGAGCACAGGAAAAUGAGAAGUGAAUCGUCCUUGGGUUCAUCUGGUGACAGGAAGAUGUCAUUGAUUGAUGUCCUGAUAUCACUGCAGAAGAAACAACCAGAACUCUAUAGUGACGUGGAUAUCAAAGCUUUUAUGCUGACUAUGCUGGUUGCUGGAACAGAAACUUCAGCAACUACCAUGGAAUGGGCGAUGUCACUCCUCCUCAACCAUCCACAAACAGCGAAAAAGGCCGUGGCUGAGAUAGACACCCACGUUGGAUUAGAUCGUCUACUGGAUGAAGCAGACCUAUCAAAGCUGAAUUACCUCCAAAAUGUAAUCAAUGAGACAUUUCGACUGUAUCCAGCACUUCCCUUUCUAUUGCCACAUGAAUCUUCUAAUGACUGUACUGUCUAUGGUUUUGAUGUGCCACGAGGCACAAUGUUGCUAGUCAAUCUAUGGACCAUUCACAGAGACCCUAGGCUGUGGGCGGAGCCAACUGCAUUCAUGCCAGAGAGAUUUGAAAGUGAAGAGAGUGAAGGGUAUAAGCUAAUUCCAUUUGGUGCUGGACGGCGGGCUUGUCCUGGAGCUCUUCUUGCAAGGCAAGUGAUAGGACUAGCACUCGGUGCUUUGAUUCAGGCCUUUGAAUGGGGCAGGAUUGGCAACGAGGAGAUCAACAUGACAGAAGGAACAGGACUUUCCAUGCCCAAAGCUGAGCCCUUGGAGGUUCUGUGUAAACCUCGCCAAGCUAUAACCAAUCUCCUCUCGGCCUUGUAAAGUGUAAUGAAGAAACUUCUACAGCAUCCAAGGAAAAUGGCAUACUUGCUUAAGAAGAGUAUUUGUUACCAAUAUAUAGGUUUGUAUCAUAGUAAAAAAACUCCACUAUGGACAAUGGCCGAUAAAAAACCAUGGCUUAGACUGGAUUAGAGUAGCAAGUCUUAGUUUUUGUCUUUAACUUUAUAAAUUUUUAAAUGUGAUUCUUGACGAUAAAGUAAAUGCAAUCAGAUGUACACAUGCUGCUAUUACGUAAG
rnacentral:misc_RNA from 1 species